UUUCCGUAGGUGAACCUGCGGAAGGAUCAUUAAAAAAUGUGGUACCAUUUGUUGGUACUAAUUAAUCAUCCUACCCUUUGUGAAUUUGUUUGUAACGAAUUUUUUUAAAUGGGUCUUUCCCUAAGUUGGAUUGUAGUAAAAAUACAAAAAGACUUAGGGAAUGACUUUUUUAAAAGACUUUUUUUUUAAAUUAAAACUUUUUGUAUUCAUUUGUCUAAAAUUUAUUUUUAUAAUAUAAAAACAACUUUUGACAAUGGAUCUCUUGGUUCUCGCAACGAUGAAGAACGCAGCAAAAUGCGAUAAGUAGUGUGAAUUGCAGAAUACGUGAAUCAUCGAAUCUUCGAACGCAUAUUGCACUUUUUUAGUUUACUAAAAAAGUAUGUCUGUUUGAGUAUCAGUAAAAUAUUCUCACAAAAACAAUUUGUUUUUUGUGGUUAUGAGUGUUUUACAACGAUAAACAAGUUGUUUCACUUUAAAUUCUUUUUAAUUGAAUUUUACCAAUUCAUAAAUUAAAAUUGGAUAAAAUUUUCCUUUAACGAGGAAUAACCUAAACAAUUUUAAAUUUUAUGGAUUAAUAAACAUUCAUCAAAGGAAUUAUACAACAAAUAACUUGAUCUCAAAUCAGAUAAGAGUACCCGCUGAACUUAAGCAUAUCAAUAAGCGGAGGAAAAGAAACUAACAAGGAUUCCCUUAGUAACGGCGAGUGAAGCGGGAAGAGCUCAAAUUUGAAAUCUUCAAGGUUUGACCUGACGAAUUGUAGUUUAUAGAAGUGUUUUCUGUUGGAGUUUUGGUAAAAGUUCUUUGGAAUAGGACAUCAUAGAGGGUGAGAAUCCCGUAUUCGACCAUGACUUUCCAGCUGUGUGAUACACUUUCAAAGAGUCGGAUUGUUUGGGAGUGCAGUCCAAAAUGGGUGGUAAAUUUCAUCUAAAGCUAAAUAUUGGCGAGAGACCGAUAGCGAACAAGUACCGUGAGGGAAAGAUGAAAAGAACUUUGAAAAGAAAGUUAAACAGUACGUGAAAUUGUCAAAAGUGAAGCGUUUGACACCAGUGUUGUUUUCUCGAAAAUCAAUUUAAUGAGUUCUUGUUUUUAAGUUAUUGUGACUUUAUCAGCGCAUUUCUUAUUUUACUUGACUCAUUGAAUGCACUUUUCGUUUAACAAGUCAACAUCAAUUUCUUUGGUGGUAAAAAGUUUAAAGGAAGGUGGCUUGGACUUCGGUUCAAGUGUUAUAGCCUUUUUUCUAUGCCAUCGGAGAGAUUGAGGUCUGCAGCGUAGAUCCUUCGGGGUUAGAUACCUUUGUGCCUAAGUUAUAGUUUUUUAUAGACAACUUGUUGACUAUAAUUAACCCUGUAAUUUACUCGCUUAGGCUAUUUUACCUACGCUUAGGAUGUUG
rnacentral:misc_RNA from 1 species